rnacentral:rRNA from 1 species
UGGGGAAUAUUGGACAAUGGGCGAAAGCCUGAUCCAGCCAUGCCGCGUGUGUGAAGAAGGUCUUCGGAUUGUAAAGCACUUUAAGUUGGGAGGAAGGGCAGUCAGUUAAUACCUUACUGUCUUGGCGUUACCAACAGAAUAAGCACCGGCUAACUUCGUGCCAGCAGCCGCGGUAAUACGAAGGGUGCAAGCGUUAAUCGGAAUUACUGGGCGUAAAGCGCGCGUAGGUGGUUCAGCAAGUUGGAUGUGAAAGCCCCGGGCUCAACCUGGGAACUGCAUCCAAAACUACUGAGCUAGAGUACGGUAGAGGGUGGUGGAAUUUCCUGUGUAGCGGUGAAAUGCGUAGAUAUAGGAAGGAACACCAGUGGCGAAGGCGGCCACCUGGACUGAUACUGACACUGAGGUGCGAAAGCGUGGGGAGCAAACAG